UCCACACGACUCUCGGCAACGGAUAUCUCGGCUCUCGCAUCGAUGAAGAACGUAGCGAAAUGCGAUACCUGGUGUGAAUUGCAGAAUCCCGCGAACCAUCGAGUCUUUGAACGCAAGUUGCGCCCGAGGCCACUCGGCCGAGGGCACGCCUGCCUGGGCGUCACGC
rnacentral:rRNA from 2 species